GAAGCUGGAGUUACUAGUAAUCGCAGAUCAGAAUGCUGCGGUGAAUGCGUUCCCGGGUCUUGUACACACCGCCCGUCACACCACGGGAGUUGGAGACGCCCGAAGCCGAUUAUCUAACCUUUUGGAAGAAGUCGUCGAAGGUGGAAUCAAUAACUGGGGUGAAGUCGUAACAAGGUAGCCGUAUCGGAAGGUGCGGCUGGAUCACCUCCUUUCUAAGGAGA
rnacentral:rRNA from 1 species